rnacentral:rRNA from 1 species
CCUACGGGAGGCAGCAGUAGGGAAUUUUCCACAAUGGGCGAAAGCCUGAUGGAGCAACGCCGCGUGGGUGAAGACGGUCCUCGGAUCGUUAAACCCUGUUGUUAGAGAAGAAAGUGCGUGAGAGUAACUGUUCACGUUUCGACGGUAUCUAACCAGAAAGCUACGGCUAACAACGUGCCAGCAGCCGCGGUAAUACGUGGGUGGCAAGCGUUAUCCGGAUUUAUUGGGCGUAAAGGGAACGCAGGCGGGCUUUUAAGUCUGAUGGGAAAGCCUUCGGCUUAACCGGAGUAGUGCAUUGGAAACUGGGAGACUUGAGUGCAGAAGAGGAGAGUGGAACGCCAUGUGUAGCGGUGAAAUGCGUAGAUAUAUGGAAGAACACCAGUGGCGAAGGCGGCUCUCUGGUCUGUAACUGACGCUGAGGUUCGAAAGCGUGGGUAGCAAACAGGAUUAGAUACCCGGGUAGUC